rnacentral:rRNA from 1 species
GACGAACGCUGGCGGCGUGCUUAACACAUGCAAGUCGAACGGAAAGGCCCUGCUUGCAGGGUACUCGAGUGGCGAACGGGUGAGUAACACGUGGGUGAUCUGCCCUGCACUUCGGGAUAAGCCUGGGAAACUGGGUCUAAUACCGGAUAGGAGCCAUUUUUAGUGUGAUGGUUGGAAAGUUUUUUCGGUGUAGGAUGAGCUCGCGGCCUAUCAGCUUGUUGGUGGGGUAAUGGCCUACCAAGGCGGCGACGGGUAGCCGGCCUGAGAGGGUGGACGGCCACAUUGGGACUGAGAUACGGCCCAGACUCCUACAGGAGGCAGCAGUGGGGAAUAUUGCACAAUGGGCGCAAGCCUGAUGCAGCGACGCCGCGUGGGGGAUGACGGCCUUCGGGUUGUAAACUCCUUUCGCUAGGGACGAAGCUUUUGUGACGGUACCUAGAUAAGAAGCACCGGCUAACUACGUG